rnacentral:rRNA from 1 species
GAUGAACGCUGGCGGCGUGCCUAAUACAUGCAAGUCGAGCGAACGGACGAGAAGCUUGCUUCUCUGAUGUUAGCGGCGGACGGGUGAGUAACACGUGGAUAACCUACCUAUAAGACUGGGAUAACUUCGGGAAACCGGGGCUAAUACCGGAUGAUAUUUUGAACCGCAUGGUUCAAAAGUGAAAGACGGUCUUGCUGUCACUUAUAGAUGGAUCCGCGCUGCAUUAGCUAGUUGGUAAUGUAACGGCUUACCAAGGCAACGAUGCAUAGCCGACCUGAGAGGGUGAUCGGCCACACUGGAACUGAGACACGGUCCAGACUCCUACGGGAGGCAGCAGUAGGGAAUCUUCCGCAAUGGGCGAAAGCCUGACGGAGCAACGCCGCGUGAGUGAUGAAGGUCUUCGGAUCGUAAAACUCUGUUAUUAGGGAAGAACAUAUGUGUAAGUAACUGUGCACAUCUUGACGGUACCUAAUCAGAAAGCCACGGCUAACUACGUG